rnacentral:tRNA from 1 species
GGGGUUGUGGCUCAGUGGUAGAGCACUUGCCUAGCAUGCAUGAGGCACUAGGGUCAAUCCUG